rnacentral:lncRNA from 1 species
UAUUUGUGUGACUUUCUGCAUUAUGUGUUUUGCCAUUUUAUGUUGUGAAUUAUGUCCAGCAUGUGACCAAGUUUAUAAAUAGAAAUGCAUUUUCCUAGUUUUUGUGACCUAUUAUAAACAACGAAGCUGUUUGUAUGAAAGCCAUGAAAAAAUGCAAUCACAAGUUAUGGCUCUGAUACCAAAUUUGUUAGUGCGGAAUGUUGAAGAAAAACUUGAAUUUUUAUUGAUAGUUUUUGAGUUGCUACAACACACUCAAUAAUGUUUUCUUCUUUUUUUCCUUACAAUGAGACUACAAGAAUAACCUCUAUUUAUAGGACCACAUGGAUAACUCUAGAGACAUGGGAAUAUAAAUGGACAUCUAAUAAUUCAUGAAUUUGCAUCAUGUAUUUUCCUGAUACAUUUUCUUCAAGUGCAUGUAACCUUAUUUAUUUCCUAAGAUUACAAAUUAAUGCCACAUUUAACAUUAUGUGUUUGUAACCUCUGUACAGUCUGUGAUUUUUCAUAUAUUGCUGCAAGUUUGUUUCAUUUGUCAUUUAUUGUAGGAAUGGAACUAUAUUAUACUUGAAGAGGAGGUCUUCUCAAGUGUUGGGGUCCCUAAGUAGGUCACAAUUAUGCAAUCACAUUUCACAUUAUGGAGUAACAGUCACAAUUCACAUGUCACUGAUUUGGUCACAAUUUACAGGUCACAGUUAACAUUGUCAGGACACAUGUAUAGACCACAGUUAACAUUCUCAGGUCACAGCUACCUACAUUAUGCAAUCACAGUUCACAUUAUGCAAUCACAAAUAAGAUUUCACGUUUUACUGUUCAUUAAAUUACAUUACAUUUUAGGGUUCACUACACUUUAGGUCACAAUUAUGCAAUCACAGAGGUUAGUUGUAAGGGUUCAUUAAACCUUAGUUACGAAUCACAUUAUGCAAUCACAGAUCACAUUUCACAUUAUGGACUCACAGACAAUUCACAGGUCCCUGAUUAGGUUACAGUUAACAUCCUGCUUGUAUAGGUCACAAAUUAAUGGUGUUAAGGCACAGAUAUCAUCAAUCAAGGUAGAAAGGAACAACAAGAUGAAUAUUAUUGUUCGUAUACAAGGAGAAAUGAAAUUAGGCUUGCUGGAGAUGAAGUCUGAAUUGAACUUUAUAUCAGGAACUGUAACCGCACUGAUAUCAAGCUUGAUGGAACAACCACUGAAAAAUUCAGCAAUAGAACUAAUUUGAUGCACUGCUAUAUAAGCACUGUGAAAUCAAGAAAGCCACCAAAAGGGUUGAGAAAAUGGUCGAGAGGGGUGAAGUUAUAGAGUGAGAGUUGAAAUUCUGUGUAAAUCAAUGUAAAUAUGUAGUUGACUUUAAAAUUUGUACUUCUCAUUUUGCAAUAGAUGAAGUUUAUGAAUGUUUAUGUGGUUGUUAAAUCCUAUUUCCAUUCAUUUUGUUUGUUGCAUUUCAUUCAGUUAUUGUGGAUUCUUCU